rnacentral:rRNA from 1 species
CGGGCUCGUAAGGGGGCAGGUGUGGAGGAGGAAGGGGAAGGUGGGUUUGCUCGUCUCUUUUGGGCCGCUUAGCUUGGAUCCCAAAGUGGGGGGAGCGGCGGCUACUUCCCGCCGGCGGACGUGGCGGGCCUCGGCGGGCGGGGAGUGCGCCGGCGCCGGGACGGGCGGGGGCGGGGGCGGGGUCGCGGGCGGCUGCUGACCCACCUGCCGAGGACCUGCCACCUGACGAGGACGCCGCAGUGGAAGCUGCUGCCGCUCCUCUACCAGUCGACGCUGCUGACGUCGCAGACCCACGUGUGCGCCACGCGCGCGAUGCAGGCCCCGCACGUGUGGAGGAAGAGGACGGUGUUGACGGCCGUGUUCGCGCGGGGGAGGAGGCGGCUGCUCUGGCUCCAGCGGCUCGAGGAGCGGCUCGACGGGUGGGUGGCGGGCGGGGGCGAGAUGGCGUCCACCCGGCUCCAGGGCGAGGGGCGGGCGCAGGUGCACGUGCCGGAGGGGCCGCCGCCCCGGCUGCGGAGGGAGAAGGCGCCUGGGGGGAGGAGGUGGCGGAAGAGGCGGCGGGAGACCGCGACGCGGCCGAUGCAGGGGUUCUUUAAGCCGAAGGCGAUGACGCUCAAGGGGAGGACCCGGCUCCUGUUCCUGUUCUCCCGGCUCCUGUUCCUGUUCCUGCCGCGGCUGCGAGAAAAGCGGUACCGGUCCCUCUUCGCCCUCCUCUGCCGCGGUCGAGGUCGCCGGUCUAAUAGGGAGGGCUAACCCUUAUUCCCUUUGUUCUUACGAGUUUGGGAUUCGUUCUUCCGACUUCCGCGUUUUCUUCAAGGAGGAUCCUGUCUACGAUUCUGUUUUCCUCGUAGGUUCUAGCGGCGUCUCCGACUAUGUGUCCUAUUACCCAAACUCAGCUUUCCCCUAGAAUUGUACGGACUAUAGUCCGUGUUCCUAGUCAAACGGCUAUAUUGGUACCGGUUAAGACUAAAAUUUCAUCAACAACUUCGAUUAUUCUUCUACUUCCUUAGGAACCUUGACUCACCCCUCUUCUCCUCAAGACUCCCUCGAGGUUCCUACGACUUUUUCCUUCUUGGAUUCCUCAGAUAAUUUGACCUCUAGAGGAGACCUCCAUCUCGAUGUAGUCGACACCGUCUUGUUCUUCGUGUGAGUGCCAAACAGUUCCGUCUCCAAUCGUAUACAUUCUUUGUUUAACUUCCUUCGGUAUUACACCCGAAUGUUAGGCCGUAUCACUUACGUCUUUACCUACCUCCAUGCGCAUAGGUACGACCAAGGUACUUUCACGUGCACCCAGAAGUCUUUGUUGGUUUAGUUCGAAGAAGUUUAGACGUCCAAGGACGAUCACAUGAUCGAAACGGCUAAGUCAGUUUUAGUUUCUCAUAAUUCUCUCCCCAAUUAAAAGUCCUAGCACUCUCUUGUUUCCGAUGGGUCGAGUAAUUACUACUCGUAUCCUCGCUAUUAGUUUCAGUUCCCUAACCACGUCCAAGAAACUGGUGAGUUUCUUCAAGUCGGUUCAGAUAGAGACUAAGUCCGAGACUGGAAGAUUUAAGGCACUGUUUUUCAGUCUACGUGUGUUAUGGACUCGUUUUGAGUCGAAAUCCACGAGUCUUUCGAACGUGUUGGAGAAGACCAGGAUGUGUAAGGGUACAACUCUAUAGUGUGAGAAAUCAAAGUCGUCUUGGUAGUAGUCCUCCCUUCUGACCGGCAAAUUACUUUUUCCUUGUCUGCUCCAACCAAUGAGGACGACUAUCGUUUGUACUAAGACACUUCGUAAGACGACUCUCAAGGUUUCUUAAAUCAUCCAGGAGACUCUUUCAAGUUGACUUUCCGAGGGAAAGAAGACGUGGUUUCAGUAGAGUUUGUUCGUUUAGUUUACACGGAAGUCGGUUUGAAUCUCAUGGCCGGAGUUUCCUCGUCAGUGUUUUCUGUGGAUACUGUCGACCGUGGUGUCGUUCUAGUAAGGUACCUCUUCACGGUGGUAACGUAAGAGCCUUGUUCCGUUACGGAAGGUUAAAUAGGGUCUUUUUUCUGUUCUGGGUAGUGGCGAAACAAGUACAGUGUGUUCUCCCGAGAUGAUUAAGUCGUAGUUGACUCAACGCUCGGAGACUACGCUGUCGAAGUAACUCACUACUUGUCGACCGCAACAAUAAUGUAGUUGUUAAUUUAUCGAGGGGUUCUCAUGGUUCCCACUGUGCACCGGUUGUUUGUCCAUCGGUCUACGAUGUAGUUUGACCUCGCAGACAAAAAAGGUUCGCCAGAAGUCGUGUACCUCCUUCCCUAGUUUGUGGCCACAAUUUCUUCGCUUUGUUUCUACUGCAGCGUAACUCUCUAUUACCACUGUUGUUCUCCAGUCCUUUCCACAGAGAACAACUUGCUUCCGUAUUUCUAAUAUCGUGGCUUGCAUGAGGAAGACACUUCCUGAGUACGUCUAAUCGACUGUUACGUCUUAACCUUCUCGUUUUAGUACCAUACACAAGUUUGCUUCGAUGGUGACCCAAUCUUUUCCUGCUAGCCUACCUAUCGCCAGAAGGCGCGUCAAAUGGACCUAAGUAACUACUUUAGUAGUCAUCCUUGUCUUUAUAUUGUAUACUGCUUGACACACUACGAUAGCCACUCGUAACCUCCCUAAAUCAAUUUGGGUUUCCUCUUCUAAUAAGUAUAAGGUCGAAAAACGUACGACAGCUACUAACAGAGUCCUGUUUCUCGCUCACCCGAGUGGAACAAAUGGUCCGAGGUUUCUACUUAGGCUUAUUUGCUGCAUUCCACCUUUCGCUGGGAAGUAGCCGGCUACAUUACCUUUGUCUCUUCUGUUCUUUGGUCCGACUUUCUAUAGGCCCUCUUCUCCCAUCAAGGCUCAGCGUUGUUCCAGACGGUUCCCCGUUUUCCUUCCCAGCCUUUGCGAGGGCAGUACUUUACUUUAGGAACUCAAGGUUCUUCUCCUCCUUCUAUUGCUUGUACCUAAGUAGGAGCCUCCUACGACGAGGGGGGAACAGAUUAAGGUCGUCGUUGGGGUACCAACUACUCUCGGUUCUCCUACUAAGAAGACCGCCACUAUCCGUUGGAUUGAAACGUCCAAUUAUCCUAUAGCCGACUGUGUCACGACAAGCGUUACUGUAAAUUGACCUUCCCCUGGUCGACUAAAGGAAAGACCGGGAGCUUACGUCAUAUUCAAACAAACCCGACUCUAGCUCUUCUCGACACCGGACCCUUUCGCAUAGGAAAUUGGCCUCAAGGUUCAAACAUCGUCCGAUGCUUGACACUCUAAAGUACGGGUCGUUUGACGCGAGUACACUGUUAUCACAUACAUUAGAUCUCAUUGGUAAAGAAGGGUCGUAUCAUCUCACAAAAAACCAACCGUACGAACUCGAUCAUACAACUCACACGUAAAACAUCUAGACAUACUCGUAUACGGGAUCACUUUAUUUCGUCCGUCAAACAUGUAGCUCAAGAGCUUUUCGUAAAACCACGGAUAACCAACCGCCCUUCCAUUUUUUGGUAACGCUCAAGUUUUUGUAAUAAGCACAAAUUAGCGUUCGGACACAUCGUUGGUUAGGGAUGGCUAUUUGUUUUG